GACGAACGCUGACGGUGUGCUUUAGACAUGCAAGUCGAACGCGAAAGCCCUUCGGGUUAGUAGAGUGGCGAACGGGUGAGUAACACGUGGGCAAUCUGCCCCUCGCAGGGGGACAACCGGAGGAAACUCCGGCUAAUACCCCGUACGCUUGCUGGACCGCAUGGUCCGGCAAGGAAAGGUAGCUUCGGCCAUCCGGCGAGGGAUGAGCCCGCGGUGCAUUAGCUAGUUGGUGAGGUAACGGCUCACCAAGGCGACGAUGCAUAGCUGGUCUGAGAGGAUGAUCAGCCACACUGGGACUGAGACACGGCCCAGACUCCUACGGGAGGCAGCAGUCGGGAAUCUUGCACAAUGGGCGAAAGCCUGAUGCAGCAACACCGUGUGUGCGACGAAGGCC
rnacentral:rRNA from 1 species